CCCCCCGCCGCGCGCGGCGGGCGGGGCGGGGGCACGGGGGGACGGGGUGCAGCAGGCGCGAAACCUCCGCAAUGCACGCAAGUGCGACGGGGGAACCCCAAGUGCCACUCUUAACGGGGUGGCUUUUCAGAAGUGUAAAAAGCUUCUGGAAUAAGGGCUGGGCAAGACCGGUGCCAGCCGCCGCGGUAACACCGGCAGCUCAAGUGGUAGCCGCUUUUAUUGGGCCUAAAGCGUCCGUAGCCGGUCUGAUAAGUCUCUGGUGAAAUCCCACAGCUUAACUGUGGGAAUUGCUGGAGAUACUAUCAUGACUCGAGGUCGGGAGAGGCUGGAGGUACUCCCAGGGUAGGGGUGAAAUCCUGUAAUCCUGGGAGGACCACCUGUGGCGAAGGCGUCCAGCUGGAACGAACCUGACGGUGAGGGACGAAAGCCAGGGGCGCGAACCGGAUUAGAUACCCGGGUAGUCCUGGCCGUAAACGAUGUGGACUUGGUGUUGGGAUGGCUUCGAGCUGCCCCAGUGCCGAAGGGAAGCUGUUAAGUCCACCGCCUGGAAGACGCCGAUG
rnacentral:rRNA from 1 species